GACGAACGCUGGCGGCGUGCUUAACACAUGCAAGCCGAACGGAAAGGCCCCUUUGGGGGUACUCGAGUGGCGAACGGGUGCGUAACACGUGAGUAACCUGCCUUUGACUUCGGGUUAACUUCAGGAAACUGGGGCUAAUACCGGAUAGGAAUCCUUGCUGCAUGGUGGGGGUUGGAAAGCUUCGGCGGUUUUGGAUGGACUCGCGGCUUAUCAGCUUGUUGGUGGGGUAGUGGCUUACCAAGGCUUUGACGGGUAGCCGGCCUGAGGGGGCGACCGGCCACAUUGGGACUGAGAUACGGCCCAGACUCCUCCGGGAGGCAGCAGUGGGGAAUAUUGCACAAUGGGCGGUAGCCUGAUGCAGCACCGCCGCGUGCGGGAUGACGGCCUUCGGGUUGUAAACCGCUUUCAGCAGGGGCGAAGCUUGUGGUGACGGUACCUGCAGAAGAAGCACCGGCUAACUACGUG
rnacentral:rRNA from 1 species